rnacentral:rRNA from 1 species
AACGUAGGAGACAAACGUUAUCCGGAGUUACUGGGCGUAAAGGGCGUGCAGGCGGUCUGUUAAGUUCGGCGUGAAAGCUCCCGGCUAAACCGGGAUAGGUCGUCGGAUACUGGCAGACUAGAGGACAGUAGAGGCGGGUGGAAUUCCGGGUGUAGUGGUGAAAUGCGUAGAGAUCCGGAGGAACACCAGUGGCGAAGGCGACCCGCUGGGCUGUACCUGACGCUAAGACGCGACAGCAUGGGGAGCGAACGGG